GCAGGAAUCUAAAAGAACUCAGCAAGAAUGCAUCUUAUUGUGAGAAGAAGAGGGAGACGUAAAUGUUGGGGUUGCACCUUUACAUAUCCUGUUCUCAUGGCUGCUAUAUUCUCUUGUAUCAGUACUUUUCAGAUUGUCAGUUUCCAAGUUAUGACAAGGAGCAUAUUGACGAAGUAAGAACUGAGUGGGUGCGCCAUGUUGUUCAACAAAUUGUAUAAUCGCUAGGUUACGUUGAAUGAACCAACAAACAUACAACUUUAUUAAUUAAUGUAU